CCUACGGGUGGCUGCAGUGGGGAAUAUUGUGCAAUGGGCGCAAGCCUGAUCCAGCAACGCCGCGUGAAGGAAGAAGGCCCUCGGGUUGUAAAGUUCUUUUGUCCGGGACGAAGCAAGUGACGGUACCUGCCGAAUAAGCCACGGCUAACUACGUACCAGCCGCCGCGGUAAUCCGUGGGUGGCAAGGGUUCUCCGGAUUUCCUGGGGGUAAAGGGCGUGUAGGCGGGGAAGCAAGUCAGAUGUGAAAUCCCAGGGCUCAACCCUGGAACUGCAUUUGAACCUGUUUUUCUUGAGUGAUGUAGAGGCGGGUGGAAUUCCGGGUGUAGCGGUGAAAUGCGUAGAGAUACGGAGGAACACCAGUGGCGAAGGCGGCCUGCUGGACAUUAACUGACGCUGAGGCGCGAAAGCGUGGGGAGCAAACAGGAUUAGAUACCCUAGUAGUC
rnacentral:rRNA from 1 species